rnacentral:rRNA from 1 species
CACGACUCUCGGCAACGGAUAUCUUGGCUCUUGCAUCGAUGAAGAACGUAGCGAAAUGCGAUACUUGGUGUGAAUUGCAGAAUCCCGUGAACCAUCGAGUCUUUGAACGCAUGUUGCGCCCGAGACCUUUAGGUUGAGGGCACACCUGCUUGGGCGUCAUGC